GUGGGGUGAGCAAGCAUCUAGCUGCCAGCUGGGGUUAAACCAUGACAAACGAGAAAGUGAGGUAGCUUGUGAGACCACCUGCGGAUCUGGAACGGAACAGAAGAUUCUUGAACCUUUCCUCCUCUCAAGAAGUAUCCGUAGAGUCUACUGGCAGCAAGAAGGAGCUUUUGUCUGAAGACCAUAGAAAAUGUGCACACUCUCCUAGAGAUGGUGGUCUUAAAUGUGCAAUUACAAAAAUGCCUUCCUUUCUCUAACGACUUUAGGAGAAGAAUGUGCUUUCCAGAUUCUUUCAUUUUCCUCAAUUGCUGCUCUCCUUCACCAUCUGCCCAACUGUGACCUUCUUUCUGGGUUGAAGGUGCUACAGGAUCUUUCCUUCAGACCUCAUCUGCCUCAUUUUUAAGUGUUUGCUGAAGUGGCUCGUGCAAUUCUUGGCAAGAGAUCGCUCCCUGACUGUGUGAGUCGGUGGAUUUGUGGCACCUGUCUCUUGCUAUUUUAUCGUGUGUUGCAAACUUUUUUCCUAUGAAAGUGGAAUCGCUGGGGGGAAGUAUGGGCUGCAUUAAUGAGUUCUGUUUUGCAGCUAAUCCAUGUUUAAUGAUUGACGUGCAUAUGUAUUUUAGUUUCACUGGUCCUGUCUUCUAUCUCAGUUGCUAUUUUCUGUCACACUCCCACCUUUUGCUUUUUAUGUACAUACCAAGAAACAGAUCCAGCUGGUCUGGCAGUUACUGCUGCUGAAAGAGGCAGAGGCACCCUCUUUCCCCUGCCCUGGCUGUGCUGCACAUUCCCGCUCCUUCCAUCCCUCACUCUUUGAUUGUCUAGUAGUACGUAACAAACAAACCAGGUACUUUCGUCUUUCUCGGAUCUAAAAUUAAUCUCUGAGAUUAUCUCACCGUAAUAAUUUUUCUGUGAAGAAAUGAGGAAUUGGGAGACAAUUUCAUAUGUGUUUUGGGCUCCCUAACAGGCAAUACAGAUCCACUGACUGGUUUUAUUCAUCACAGAAUGGCAGAGGCUGGAAGGCCCCUCUGGAGAUCAUCUACUCCAUCCCCUAGUUCAGAGGAGCUUAAGCAGUUGCAUUUUUAAUAUCUCCAAGGAUGAAGACUCCACAACCUCUCUGGGCAACCCAUAUCAGUGUUUGACCACUUUCACUGUAAAAAAAAAAGGUUUUUUUUCUAAUGUCUUAAAAAUAAGUUUUAUUGCAUUUAAGGCAUUUUCUUAUGUGUAAGUUUAUCUCAAGCUUGCAGAUCUGUCUACUUGUAAAUCUUAAAUGCUUUUAUGUUUUCUCUGUGCUUAGAUUUUUGUUCCUAAACAUCCCAAGAAAAAAUGAAGGAGCUGCAAGUGCCACAACACAUAUGGGGACGCCCACUAGUUACCUGGGUUUGCUGCCAUGCAUGUUUUACUGGGAGCUCUGUUGAGAGAAGAACAAAACUCCUGCAAAGAUCUAAGCAGGUGCUUCAUUUUAGAUACUGAAAAUGAUUUUUUUUAACUUUUUUUUUUCCUGUAUAAAAACCAAGAGAGUGCAAUAUUUUGUUUAUAAAUAUGUACCGUUAGUUUCUGGUAAGAAAUGAGCACCUGUGUCUGGCUGUAGCUUAUUGAAAGCCAGAAUCCUGUUAGAGCAUUACUCAUUGGAAGACCACAAUUGGAAGUAUCACACUUAAAGACUACUUUAAUUUGAUCCAAGUUUUCAUUUAAUUUCCCUUUAAAAUGAUCUGGGAUCUACAGUGUUAACAAAUGACAUCUGUCUAUUGAGUCAAGGAAGGUAAUGCAAUUGAUAGUGCUCAAUUUCAGCCAGUGCUAUCGUCUGGCAAACCAAUAACUCCAGGUAAAAAUUCUUAUUCCUGUGUUUACAUAAGUGUUAGUAACUUCCUGAACAAUCCUUGCUUACUGGCCAUGGCUAAUUAUUCCUGGUCCUAGAUCUACAGGCUGCUUCUGAAUGAGGAAUUGGAAAGAGUCAACAUAGUUCAGAAAUCCCAUUUAUUAAUGCUUUCCAAAUCCUUUUGUUACUAUAUUCAGAACAGAGAUAAUAGAUGUAUUUAAUUACUAUGACUUUUAUCUUUUGUCAUAAUAUUUUUGAUUAUUUUUUAUUGUUUUGCAGGAUGUUUUGCUUUGGUGUGAGAAUAGCUGAUUCAUUGGCUAAAUCUGCUUGUAAUUUUUAUGUAGCUAGCUUAAUAGCCCUGGUUUCUACCAUCUGUAUUUUGAUAGCCCUAUGACAGUGCAGGCUAUAUCCAUGCCAGUUAACGAAUCCUAUAGUGUUCUGUGGCUGAAAACAGCCUGAGACAUGCCCAACCUGUUGAACUGCAUUCAUUUGGGUGACCUGCCCCAAAAGUUAUUUGACACAUCGGUACAGAAAAAAUACUGAAAGCAACUGGAUCCAGUUUUUGUGAUGUCUCUGCCUGCCCAGCCCCUCGGAACAAAAUAUUUUUCUGCCAAAAAAAAAGAGUUACUGGGUAGGAUAAGAAUUGUGUGGUAUGAAUGCACGAGUCAAAUUUCUUUAAGAGGAGAAAUCAGUUAAUGCCUCCCAGUAGACAGCGCAGAGGGACAUCAUGGUUACUAUAGGGUUUCUACUCUGUGUGAAGUUGUUAGGGAGAGAGCUCGGCCAUCAACACAAGAAAAAAGGACCUGUAUGACAAAGAAGGUGGGGUGACUGUAUCUGGCUGAAAUACUAACAAACUUGAGAGUGUUGUGAAAUAUAAGGAUGGGGUGGGAUUGGGCAUCUCAGAACCAUCAUUAAAAUGCUCUAAAACCAGAA